UUAAGCGACUAAGCGUACACGGUGGAUGCCCUGGCAGUCAGAGGCGAUGAAGGACGUGCUAAUCUGCGAUAAGCGUCGGUGAGGUGAUAUGAACCGUUAUAACCGGCGAUUUCCGAAUGGGGAAACCCAGUGUGUUUCGACACACUAUCAUUAACUGAAUCCAUAGGUUAAUGAGGCGAACCGGGGGAACUGAAACAUCUAAGUACCCCGAGGAAAAGAAAUCAACCGAGAUUCCCCCAGUAGCGGCGAGCGAACGGGGAGGAGCCCAGAGCCUGAAUCAGUGUGUGUGUUAGUGGAAGCGUCUGGAAAGGCGUGCGAUACAGGGUGACAGCCCCGUACACAAAAAUGCACAUAUUGUGAGCUCGAUGAGUAGGGCGGGACACGUGGUAUCCUGUCUGAAUAUGGGGGGACCAUCCUCCAAGGCUAAAUACUCCUGACUGACCGAUAGUGAACCAGUACCGUGAGGGAAAGGCGAAAAGAACCCCGGCGAGGGGAGUGAAAAAGAACCUGAAACCGUGUACGUACAAGCAGUGGGAGCCUCUUAAUGGGGUGACUGCGUACCUUUUGUAUAAUGGGUCAGCGACUUAUAUUCUGUAGCAAGGUUAACCGAAUAGGGGAGCCGAAGGGAAACCGAGUCUUAACUGGGCGUUAAGUUGCAGGGUAUAGACCCGAAACCCGGUGAUCUAGCCAUGGGCAGGUUGAAGGUUGGGUAACACUAACUGGAGGACCGAACCGACUAAUGUUGAAAAAUUAGCGGAUGACUUGUGGCUGGGGGUGAAAGGCCAAUCAAACCGGGAGAUAGCUGGUUCUCCCCGAAAGCUAUUUAGGUAGCGCCUCGUGAAUUCAUCUCCGGGGGUAGAGCACUGUUUCGGCAAGGGGGUCAUCCCGACUUACCAACCCGAUGCAAACUGCGAAUACCGGAGAAUGUUAUCACGGGAGACACACGGCGGGUGCUAACGUCCGUCGUGAAGAGGGAAACAACCCAGACCGCCAGCUAAGGUCCCAAAGUCAUGGUUAAGUGGGAAACGAUGUGGGAAGGCCCAGACAGCCAGGAUGUUGGCUUAGAAGCAGCCAUCAUUUAAAGAAAGCGUAAUAGCUCACUGGUCGAGUCGGCCUGCGCGGAAGAUGUAACGGGGCUAAACCAUGCACCGAAGCUGCGGCAGCGACACUAUGUGUUGUUGGGUAGGGGAGCGUUCUGUAAGCCUGUGAAGGUGGCCUGUGAGGGUUGCUGGAGGUAUCAGAAGUGCGAAUGCUGACAUAAGUAACGAUAAAGCGGGUGAAAAGCCCGCUCGCCGGAAGACCAAGGGUUCCUGUCCAACGUUAAUCGGGGCAGGGUGAGUCGACCCCUAAGGCGAGGCCGAAAGGCGUAGUCGAUGGGAAACAGGUUAAUAUUCCUGUACUUGGUGUUACUGCGAAGGGGGGACGGAGAAGGCUAUGUUGGCCGGGCGACGGUUGUCCCGGUUUAAGCGUGUAGGCUGGUUUUCCAGGCAAAUCCGGAAAACCAAGGCUGAGGCGUGAUGACGAGGCACUACGGUGCUGAAGCGACAAAUGCCCUGCUUCCAGGAAAAGCCUCUAAGCAUCAGGUAACAUCAAAUCGUACCCCAAACCGACACAGGUGGUCAGGUAGAGAAUACCAAGGCGCUUGAGAGAACUCGGGUGAAGGAACUAGGCAAAAUGGUGCCGUAACUUCGGGAGAAGGCACGCUGAUAUGUAGGUGAAGCGACUUGCUCGUGGAGCUGAAAUCAGUCGAAGAUACCAGCUGGCUGCAACUGUUUAUUAAAAACACAGCACUGUGCAAACACGAAAGUGGACGUAUACGGUGUGACGCCUGCCCGGUGCCGGAAGGUUAAUUGAUGGGGUUAGCGGUAACGCGAAGCUCUUGAUCGAAGCCCCGGUAAACGGCGGCCGUAACUAUAACGGUCCUAAGGUAGCGAAAUUCCUUGUCGGGUAAGUUCCGACCUGCACGAAUGGCGUAAUGAUGGCCAGGCUGUCUCCACCCGAGACUCAGUGAAAUUGAACUCGCUGUGAAGAUGCAGUGUACCCGCGGCAAGACGGAAAGACCCCGUGAACCU
rnacentral:rRNA from 1 species